UGUAUUUUUGCUAUCAAUCUUAUUACUUGGUUGCAAACACUAUUAACGAGGUAUAAACGUUGCGGCUAUAUAGUACUGAAAUGGUCUGACCAAUAAUACAAAUACUACAAAGACAAACGUACAAAUGUACAACAGUACAACACACUUCGGCGCUUCGGCGUCCGACGUCCGGUGUUUAUUUUUUAAGUUCUGGUGCUUUGCCGCCAUUUAGGCGACAUAGCAUUGUCGCCUAUCGGCUUCGAGCGAUGUACGAGAGUUAUUCUCAUAGACAUCGUUGCUGACUGCGAUACAGUAUUACAGUCUUCACUGUUGUCAUUUUAUGUGCUUGCUACUCGCCGGCCGAAAAACUUGUUUUUAUUUUUUCAACCAUCCGUCUGAUACUUCAAUUUAUUUGUCAGGCGACGACGUUAAUUUGGAUUCAUCAUUGAAUAUAAUCGCUUCCAUAAUCUAUACCAUUUUUGUAUAAAAAUUAUCGUUUCCCGUAGAUUGGUGGACGGUGUUUCUAAGUUCUAACAGCAUGAUAAUCUUAUCUGAACACAGCUAUCUUGCCAUUACCAUAAAGAAACUUGGAACUAAAAAAAUCACUUCAACUAUUCAAGGUAUUGUUAGUUUGGUCACAAGUAUAACAAAAUUAUUUUUACUCCAUAAAAAUUCAGAAGAUGAAAAAAAUCAGUGAAGUGAUAGAAAUAUUAUUCAGAUUUAGAUUUAAGUUCAAAACGUCAUGUAAAGGAUUUGAUAGAGAAGUGUGAUAGGCGUUUAGAUAUACGGCAAGUAGAAAACUUUGGCAGAGAAAAACGGUAAAGAGUUGAAAAAUAUUCAUAUCUUAGUUAUAAUGGUGGAAAAAGUUAUUAGAUAAAUAUAAACUAUGAGAGAACACAUAUAAUAAAAUUAAUAGAUGGGAAAUUCCAAGUAAAAAUUCACAUUUAUGACGCUCUAACUAUGUCAUGAAAUAAUUUAUUUAAAA